CAUUUUUAGUAGAUAGAAAUUCCCUUCGGGUCUUUCUGCAAGGUGCUGCAUGGUUGUCGUCAGCUCGUGCCGUGAGGUGUCGGGUUAAGUCCCAUAGCGAGCGCAACCCUUAUCGUUAGUUGCCAUCUGGUAAUGCAGGGGACUCUAGCGAAACUGCCACCGUAAGGUGAGAGGAAGGUGGGGAUGACGUCAAAUCAGCACGGCCCUUAUGUCCAGGGCUACACACGUGUUACAAUGGUCGGUACAGAGGGCAGCUACCUGGUGACAGGAUGCUAAUCUCGAAAACCGGUCUCAGUUCGGAUCGAAGUCUGCAACUCGACUGCAUGAAGUUGGAAUCGCUAGUAAUCGUGGAUCAGCCAAGCCGCGGUGAAUACGUUCCCGGGCCUU
rnacentral:rRNA from 1 species